AUGGAAUAAGAAUCUAUACAUAUAAAUAUAUGGAUGAGCAAUGUAGGCAAGAUGCAAUAGAUGGUAUAAAAUGCAAUAUAUACAUAUGAGAUGAGUGAUGCAAGAUAUGUCAACAUUAUUAAAGUGGCAUUAUUAAAGUGACUAGUGAUCCAUUUAUUAAAGUGGCCAAUGAUUUCAAGUCUGUACGUAGGCAGCAGCCACUCUGUGUUAGUGAUGGCUGUUUUACAGUCUGAUGGCUUUGGUGGCCCAACACACUAUUAAGACACUUUAUGUUGAGGUUUCCUUAAUUUUUGUCAGUUACCUGUAUAUUCAUUUGUUAUAUAUGAUGUCCCCCAUCCUCUUCAUAAUGUCCCCUUCAUAAAGUAACAGACAGUAAGCAAACUGUUUGAUUCUGAGCAUUUAUUGACACUUAAAAUAUUCCUUUACCCAGACAAAUGGCACCAGGUGUCUACAAUUAAGACACAAAUGUUUGAAUUUCAAUUACACAUUUAAAAAGUACCUAUUUUCUGCCCAACAUGUAGGCUAAACUUUCCCUUUCUUCAAACAGGUCAAAGGGUGCUGCUGAAUGUUUCAUAGUAUAUUUUUAUCUUUGGGUGAACAUUGGACCCCAUAUCUUCCUCGUUAUGGAUGAACAUUGGACCCCAUAUCUUCCUCGUUAUGCGUGAACAUUGGACCACAUAUCUUCCUCGUUAAGGGUGAACAUUAGACCCCAUAUCUUUCUCGUUAUGGGUGAACAUUAGACCCUGUAUCUUCCUCGUUAAGGGUGAACAUUGGACCCCAUAUCUUCCUCGUUAAGGGUGUACAUUGGACCCCAUAUCUUCCACGUUAUGGGGGAACAUUGGACCACAUAUCUUCCUCGUUAUGGGUGAACAUUGGACCCCAUAUCUUCUACGUUUCAUUCUGAACAUUUUAAUAAAAACAAUGAAUGUCAAAUCAUAAAAAGGAACACAUAUCUUCACAGAUUUGACAUGUAUUGUAAAAGAUCAAAAACUAAGUCAACAACGGCCAGCAACCAAGGUUUUUGGAACAUUUGUAGAAUUCAGGGUUCACUUCACUGAACCAUCUUAGCCUGUGUAUCCCUCUCCCCCUCGUCAUUCACUAAACACUUGCAGAAUGAGAGGACCUCUGUUUUGAAAGCCUAUUUUGCACCAUCACCAGUGUACUUUCUGGUUUACUUGAAUAAUAAAUAGAGAAUUAAAAUGAAAUGCAAAAAUGUAAGUUAUUUAUGUUUAUUUGUACUGCCCAUAUUGCAAAUGUGCUGAUUGUUAUAAUAUUCAUGUAUACUUUUCCUAAUUGGAUAUUUCUGUGCUAGGUAUUAGCCACAUUUUGGUUUUCACAUGUUCACCAUCACCAUCAUCAUCAUCUCUGAAUUCCAUGAUGAACAAGUAGGCCUACCAAAUAAUACUCAGGGGGUUUAAUCAUCAUGUACACAAAGGAUGAAAAUAAUAAAUACAUAUUGCAAUAAAAUUGCUUUAAUUUUAGUGUUAUCUGCAUGCAAUACCACAUGCAGUUAGAGAGGGUUUGUGAGGAGAGGACCAUGAUCAUGCAUGACCACACUGCCACAACCAUAGACUGACCAUACUGUCACAACCACAGACUGACCAUACUGUCACAACCACAGACUGACUGUAUGACCACAUUACUGAGCGCUGAUGUUCUUAUAUUGACUAUACCAACUCUACCAUCGCUUCCAUCCCAUAAUCCUUCCUUCCGUAAACCAUAUUUCCACCCAUCCUUUCAGAUCAGUGAACAUUGAGGAUAGUUGAUAAUGAGGAGAUUAUAAAAGAACACGUCAGGGUUUCUACAGUUUAGUUAAACUGAAAUGUAUAGAGCUUCAAUUAACGCUGCUCUAUACUGGCACACAUUUAACUUAGAAAUUAUUUAUUACAAUACAUUCAUAUAAUCCCCUUGACACGACUUCCGCCGAAGUCGGUCCCUCUCCUUGUUCGGGCGGCGUUCGGCGGUCGACACAGGCAAUAUUACACCCCUCCACAAACAUUUAAAUGUUAUCCUUUUCACAGUGAACAUGGUUUGUUAAUCACAUUGAGGCGGGUUUAUGAAAUAGAAACGAACACAAAUUAAAAGUUGUAACAAAAGAUUGCUGUGCAAUUAAAAUGUGUUAAAAAUGUAAAUUGUGUUAAAAAAAUUUAAAUUUGUGUUAAAAAUGUAAACAUUUUAAAUUUGUAAAAACAAGACUGCAGAACAUGACAAGGGCCAAAUAUGAUGACUGGAGUAUCCUCUUUAAUUUCACAGACCAUUAAAAAUAUGCUUCUUUGUGUCCACCAUAGAAAAUAAAAGUACACAUGUCAAUAAAUGAAAAGGUUUUUGAAAAGUAAACUUUUCAUUUUGGAUGAGGACAAUGCUAGUAUUUCUUAUUAAGUAUCCUCACACAAAAACAUUUGUCAAAUCUACUUUGUUUUUAAAAAAGUAAUUCAGUCAGUAAAAUGCAAAUGUGGUAUGACACACCUUUUCAUAAGUAAUAAUCUUAAGUAAUUACAAGUAAUAGUCUUUAAUGCGUGUAUGUGCCCAUUAAACUAAACUGCUCAGAGAAAAGGCAGGCAUAAUAUACAUUGAUUAUAAAUGUAUGUUACUUGUAUCAUGAAAACGUUUCCUCAUAAAUCUACAAAAAAGAUACAUCAUGAAUACCUCUUACCAAAUAAAUUACACGUAUCCUUAAAUUAAAAAUACACUGAGUGUACAAAACAUUAGGAACACCUGCUCGUUCCAUGAAAAGACUGACCAGGUGAAAGCUAUGAUCCCUUAUUAGUGUCACUUGUUAAAUCCACUGUAGAUGAAGGGGUGGAAACAGGUUAAAGAAGGAUUGUUAAGCCUUGAGACAUGGAUUGUGUAUGUGUAUGCCAUUCAGAGGUUGAAUGGGCAAGACAAAAUAUUUCAGUGUCGUUGAACGGGGUAUGGUAGUAGGUGCCAGGCACACUGGGUUGAGUCACUGGCAUCAACAUGGGCCAGCAUCCCUUGUGGAACGCUUUCGACACAUUGUUGAGUCCAUGCCCCCGACGAAUUGAGGCUGUUCUAAGGGCAAAAGGGGGUGAAACUAAAUAUUAGGAAAGGUGUUCCUAAUGUUUGGUACACUCCGUGUAUGUAGACACAAACAUUGAGGAGUUGCUCCAGUACAUAACUGGUAAUAAAUAUUUAAUGCGGUUCAGAAGAAGUUCCUUACACCAAGAUCUUAGAACAAGGUGAGUGUUAGUAGCCAUUGGUCGAGCUCAGAGGGGACAAACUCAUCCAAUAACAUUGUCCCAAUGGCCCCUCGUCCAAACAUGGCGUAUCCUCAAGUUCCAUACUGAUCUGAUACCCGGUACAUACAAUUAAUUCCAGCAUGCACCAGUUGACUGUAUAGAUACGUUGGUAUUGACAGUAGGUUUGGAAAAAGAGAAAAACAACUUGUUACCAUGAUUAUGGUAUUUAAAGUCUAAUAAAUUAUUGAAAAUGUUGAGGACAAAAAGGUCACACGUCUUAUAUCAUCUGGGCAAAUAAAAUCAGAGAGGAAUGUCAGAAUCCAGCUGACAACUCUCACGAUGCAUUUCCCUAUCGCUUCAACUCACACAUUCUCAAAGUUUCCCUUUCGACAUCCUUUUGGUCAGACAAGCAAGCAGCGUGACAUAUCCUAUGGCAUAAUCAGCAAAGUGUACCCACAUCAGUCCCAUUUUUGAUUGAAACAAAAAUAUCAACAUGAAUAUUUAGAACCAAAAUCCUUCUAAAUCGAACCCGGCUGGACAAAUGUAAGGAAUCCAUUUAUACAUUUCUUCUUUAACUUUCCCCCUUUACCAACUUUAACUUUCACCAGAGUGUGAGUGGCCCAUAGGAGGCCUCACUCUAUUUGAGCCAGGGGUCGGUCUGUCUGUCUUCUUUGAGCCAGGGGUCGGUCGGUCUGUCUGUCUUCUUUGAGCCAGGGGUCGGUCUGUCUUCUUUGAGCCAGGGGUCGGUCUGUCUGUCUGUCUUCUUUGAGCCAGGGGUCGGUCUGUCUGUCUGUCUGUAUUCUUUGAGCCAGGGGUCUGUCUGUCUUCUUUGAGCCAGGGGUCUGUCUGUAUUCUUUGAGCCAGGGGUCUGUCUGUCUGUCUGUCUUCUUUGAGCCAGGGGUCUGUCUGUCUUCUUUGAGCCAGGGGUCUCUGGGUCUGUCUGUCUGUAUUCUUUGAGCCAGGGGUCGGUCUGUCUGUCUUCUUUGAGCCAGGGGUCUGUCUGUCUUCUUUGAGCCAGGGGUCGGUCUGUCUGUCUGUCUUCUUUGAGCCAGGGGUCUGUCUGUCUUCUUUGAGCCAGGGGUCUGUCUGUAUUCUUUGAGCCAGGGGUCGGUCUGUCUGUCUGUCUUCUUUGAGCCAGGGGUCUGUCUGUCUUCUUUGAGCCAGGGGUCGUGUCUGUCUGUCUGUAUUCUUUGAGCCAGGGGUCUGUCUGUCUGUCUGUAUUCUUUGAGCCAGGGGUCUGUCUGUAUUCUUUGAGCCAGGGGUCUGUCUGUAUUCUUUGAGCCAGGGGUCGGUCGGUCUGUCUGUCUUCUUUGAGCCAGGGGUCUGUCUGUCUUCUUUGAGCCAGGGGUCUGUCUGUAUUCUUUGAGCCAGGGGUCUGUCUGUAUUCUUUGAGCCAGGGGUCUGUCUGUCUGUCUGUAUUCUUUGAGCCAGGGGUCGGUCGGUCUGUCUUCUUUGAGCCAGGGGUCUGUCUGUAUUCUUUGAGCCAGGGGUCUGUCUGUCUGUCUGUCUGUCUGUCUGUCUGUAUUCUUUGAGCCAGGGGUCUGUCUGUCUUCUUUGAGCCAGGGGUGUGUCUGUCUUUGAGCCAGGGGUCUGUCUGUCUUUGAGCCAGGGGUCUGUCUGUCUUUGAGCCAGGGGUCUGUCUGUCUUUGAGCCAGGGGUCUGUCUGUCUUUGAGCCAGGGGUCUGUCUGUCUUUGAGCCAGGGGUCUGUCUGUCUUCUUUGAGCCAGGGGUCUGUCUGUCUUUGAGCCAGGGGUCUGUCUGUCUUUGAGCCAGGGCCGGUCUCUGUAUCAGAGUGUCUCACUGAGAGGUUUCUUUCAGUUGAACUCACUCAUCUUGGAUAUAGGUUUGAUUGCACUAGAUGUCCAUCCAGUGUUCUGACAGACAGUCAGUUUGGGUUUAAACAGGAAGACGCUAGACUCCGCCCUUCCUCAGCAGACAGACAGCAGAUUUUUAAUGACACAAUUACAACAAGAUUUCCUGCAUGUGUUAAUUGGGUUGGUCGGGUUAUUUGGGUUGGUCGGGCUAUUUGGGUUGGUCGGGCUAUUUGGGUUAGAUAGGUUGGUUGGGUUGGUUGUGUCCCAAAAAACUGAUUUUCAAAAACUGUUAUUUUAUUUGUACUCACCAUUUGAACAAUAAUUAAUUCCUCUGUGUUCAAAAUGUAAAUCUAUAACCUAUGGGAUUCAGACAACCAGAAUAUUAAAAAGAGCAACAUUAAGUGAGGGGCUUCAUGUUCCUUUGGGGAGCACAUGAACAUCACACAUUGAGUCUAUGGUCUGGAACAAGCAGUAAACGUUUGACUUGGUGAAGUGCUGGGGAAAAACAGACACGUCAUCCCAGACAUGCCUCUUUUGUGAUAAAAUGCACAGAAAAAUAAUUGGCCAUGCACAGAAAGUGUUGCUAACAGUUUCACCAACCACUGCCCCAGUUAUUGUCCCUUUGUCCACAUCCAGCACAAUGCUCCAAUCUCAAAAGGGGAGCAAAAAUGUGCUGCGUCAACUAGCAUAAAAUUCAGUCUGUGUGAGACUUGGCUUUUGGUGUGAGUUAGUUGACCCCUGAAACAGUCAGGUACUAAUCCAAUUGUGCACUACAAAGGGGACAGUGGUUCAAUGGGUUUCCCCUAACCAUUACAUCAACCAUCCCUCUUGCUUCUUAGUCAGUCUUUCCAUUAUCUCGUGUCUCCACUUUGUGCCGUCGGGCCGAGCACAUGACCUUGUAGCAGCCGCGGGCGAUCUUAUGCAUCCACAUGACGUUCAUGACAUCCAGCGAGACGCUGGAGAUGAUCCAGGCAGCGCGGCCUUCCGGCGGGACGCGGUAAAAGGCUUCGGUGCCGUACACAGACCACAUGCGGCUGUAGUAGAGGGGCAUGACGGCGAUGCGAACCAGGAAGAAGACCAGGGCCAUUGCCAUCCCGUUAGCGAUGUUGGGCUUGGAGGACUUGGGGUAACCUAACACUUCAAAGAACCAGCUGGAAGAAAGACACAGUCAGUACAGUGAUGUAAAGAAAGGCACAGUCAGUACAGUGAUGUAAAGUCACAGUCAGAACAACGAUGUAAAGUCACAGUCAGAACAACGAUGUAAAGAAAGUCACAGUCAGAACGAUGUAAAGAAAGGCACAGUCAGAACAACGAUGUAAAGAAAGACACAGUCAGAACAACGAUGUAAAGAAAGACACAGUCAGAACAACGAUGUAAAGAAAGUCACAGUCAGAACAACGAUGUAAAGAAAGUCACAGUCAGAACAACGAUGUAAAGAAAGUCACAGUCAGAACAACGAUGUAAAGAAAGGCACAGUCAGAACAACGAUGUAAAGAAAGUCACAGUCAGAACAACAAUGUAAAGAAAGACACAGUCAGAACAACGAUGUAAAGAAAGUCACAGUCAGAACAACGAUGUAAAGAAAGACACAGUCAGAACAACGAUGUAAAGAAAGUC
rnacentral:lncRNA from 1 species